rnacentral:tRNA from 1 species
UUUGAGAUAGCUCAGUUGGUAGAGCACUACACUAUCAUUGUAGUUUAAAUAGACUCAAAAUCUAUUUUUGGAA